AACGAACGCUGGCGGCAUGCCUAACACAUGCAAGUCGAACGAGACCUUCGGGUCUAGUUGCGCACGGGUGCGUAACGCGUGGGAACCUGCCCUUAGGUUCGGAAUAACUCCCCGAAAGGGGUGCUAAUACCGGAUAAUGUCCUCGGACCAAAGAUUUAUCGCCUUUGGAUGGGCCCGCGUUGGAUUAGCUGGUUGGUAGGGUAAAAGCCUAUCAAGGCGACGAUCCAUAGCUGGUCUGAGAGGAUGAUCAGCCACACUGGGACUGAGACACGGCCCAGACUCCUACGGGAGGCAGCAGUGGGGAAUAUUGGACAAUGGGCGAAAGCCUGAUCCAGCAAUGCCGCGUGAGUGAUGAAGGCCUUAAAGUUGUAAAGCUCUUUUACCCGGGAUGAUAAUGACAGUACCGAGAGAAUAAGCACCGGCUAACUCCGUG
rnacentral:rRNA from 1 species